rnacentral:tRNA from 1 species
GCCAAGAUGGCGGAAUUGGUAGACGCGCCGGACUCAAAAUCCGGUCCCUUCACGGGGGUGUGGGUUCGAUUCCCUCUCUUGGCA